rnacentral:rRNA from 1 species
ACUCGAGUGGCGAACGGGUGAGUAACACGUGGGUGAUCUGCCCUGCACUUCGGGAUAAGCUUGGGAAACUGGGUCUAAUACCGGAUAGGAGCCAUCUUUAGUGUGGUGGUUGGAAAGUUUUUGGUGUAGGAUGAGCUCGCGGCCUAUCAGCUUGUUGGUGGGGUAAUGGCCUACCAAGGCGGCGACGGGUAGCCGGCCUGAGAGGGUGGACGGCCACAUUGGGACUGAGAUACGGCCCAG